AUCAUCAUGGUGACUUACAAACAACUCACUAUACUUUGGUACUGUACUAACUGAGUUUUUAAUUUAAUGAUGAAAGAUUUUUGGAUACAGUCAAGUACUUAUCAAGUUGGUGCAUGAGUCAAGAUGGGAUUGACCUCUCCGAAUUAGUAGAAGAUAUGCAUCAGUAUAUUUCAAUUUAACAAAACCUGAGCCCAGAUAAUCCAUGUG
rnacentral:lncRNA from 1 species